AUGAGGAAGAAGUCCAGCGCAGAUCAAACACAAACACAAGGGGAUGACGCAUAAAAACAAACUUCUUGUUGAUGUUUUGAACCUCACUUUGAGAAGCGAAACAGUCAGUACCAGGAAGAACUGGUGUGUCUUAGGUUCAUGCUAACUAAGGAAAAAGACAGUAGUGGAAGAAGUUUGUUUCUUGACUGAAAAGCUUCCAGAAGUCUCCUGAGAUUGCAUUUAAUUUUGGUCAUGCUGUGGUCUCCAACCGCUGAUUUCCUCAGUGAGACGGUUUAAAAGUGCACACACAGAGCUCUGCAACAUCAU